rnacentral:tRNA from 1 species
UGGCUCAGAGGUUAAAGUUUCUGCCUCCAAUGCAGGAGACCCAGGUUUAAUCCCUGG